rnacentral:rRNA from 1 species
UACAGAGGGGGCAAGCGUUGUUCGGAAUUACUGGGCGUAAAGCGCACGUAGGCGGAUUUGUAAGUCAGGGGUGAAAUCCCGAGGCUCAACCUCGGAACUGCCUUUGAUACUGCAAAUCUCGAGUCCGGAAGAGGUGAGUGGAAUUCCUAGUGUAGAGGCGAAAUUCGUAGAUAUUAGGAAGAACACCAGUGGCGAAGGCGGCUCACUGGUCCGGUACUGACGCUGAGGUGCGAAAGCGUGGGGAGCAAACAGG